rnacentral:lncRNA from 1 species
AUGGAAUUUUAUCUGUUCGUAUGUUCCAGGCUCGCAGCGGCGCUGUUAUCGUUUUUUUCGGUGCGGGUUCCCGAGUCGCGGCGCGGAAGUUGGAAGUUAAACAGCAAAAAAAAAAAAAAAAAAAAAAAAAAAAGUUGGAAGUUGCUCUGGAGACAUUCCGGGAACCGAUCGUCGCCGUGCUGUCCUUAUCUCCGAGCUUCGAGGAAUCGAACAGGAAUCCUUCCCGAGUUUGAGCUAACCAGCAGUCUUAUGUUCUAUUCAAUUUUGCGGUUGACAAGGGGCCCAAAGUUUGAUCGCUCUACUGCGGAUCUGAAUCCAUGGGAGAAACCACAGAUUCUCCCACAAUGA